CCACCGCCAUCGUCUUCUCUUAACGUGGCUUAUACGCCUUUAGUCAAAGGCUGUGUCUAGUAGUAAGAGAAUGUCGCAGCUAACUGAAACCUGGACCGCCGAGUGACAGUCGACAGCACGUCGACCACCACGAGGAAAUCAAUCAAGUGGAUAAGAGAAGUAUUUGUCAUCAUCAUAGCAUCACCGGGCCUUCUCUUUCGUGAAUAUAAAUUAAAUGUCUAUUAAGGCUAGUUGCGUAAAUUUGAAGAGGAAAAUUAGACUUCACGAACAGUUAUACGUGAUGUAGAAGGAUUUUCUAAUGUUAUCUUAUUCUUAAAAAGGAACAUAAAAA